UAUGAGCCGCGACGGUCAGUUUCAUUACAGCUGUUGCCAUGUAAACAAGUGUCACAGUGAAUUGUGUCGUCGUUGGUGAGGAAUAUAAAAUCAAGAGGCAGGAUGGUUCCUGGCCCAAGACAUGACGGGUGAUGCCAAGGCUUCCUCUACCACCAGGGCAAUCGCCAACAGAGACCACACAUGGGGCCGCCCUUUCUCUACGCUACAGUGUGAAGUAACUCAGAGAUGGAGCAGAGUGAUGAGAAUGACGGUAAACCUUGCUCACCUGCUUUGACUCAAGGACUCUCCAACACCUGGUAGUAUAUAAACAGGUGUUGUGUCUCAGCUUUACCUCCUUCAUGCUUGAUUAUCUCGCUGCAUUGGCAAACAUUUUCUACUUUUUUUUUU